AGCAGCCGCGGUAAUUCCAGCUCCAAUAGCGUAUAUUAAAGUUGUUGCAGUUAAAAAGCUCGUAGUUGAAUUUCGGGAUUCUACCGUUGGUCGGGCUAUUGUCUGUACUGGCGUGUAGAAUUUCUACCUUCUGGGGAACUAUCAUGUUAUUAAUUUAGCGUGGUAGGAAACCAGGACCUUUACCUUGAAAAAAUUAGAGUGUUCAAAGCAGGCUUAUGUCUGAAUACAUUAGCAUGGAAUAAUAAAAUAGGACGGUGGUCCUGUUUUGUUGGUUUCUGAAUCACCGUAAUGAUUAAUAGGGAUAGUUGGGGGCAUUAGUAUUCAAUUGUCAGAGGUGAAAUUCUUGGAUUUAUUGAAGACUAACUACUGCGAAAGCAUUUGCCAAGGAUGUUUUCAUUAAUCAAGAACGAAAGUUAGGGGAUCGAAGACGAUCAGAUACCGUCGUAGUCUUAACCAUAAACUAUGCCGACUAGGGAUCGGAUGAAGUUAAUUUUUUAAUGACUCAUUCGGCGCCUUACGG
rnacentral:rRNA from 1 species